GGAAAGGUGCAGGAGUGGUUGAACUGGCUCGCCUGGAAAGUGAGUAAACGCCAAAAGUGUUUCAGGGGUUCGAAUCCCCUCCUUUCCG
rnacentral:tRNA from 1 species